rnacentral:rRNA from 1 species
UUGAGUAGAGGCAGGGUCAAACCGUUUCUCUUUUGGACUUGAGAUUUGUUAGAUGUACUUUUUCUUUGGCAGGUCAACGUCGGUUUCGGGGGUUGUAAAAUACUUGGGGGAAAAGUAGCUCUGCUUCGGGAGAGUGUUAUAGACCCUGGGAGAUGCAGCCUGUGGGAUCGAGGAUUGCAGCAAAUGCCUUUUGGCUUGUCGCCUGUUCCUGGGUGUUACCUGUCUUGUGACAACAUUCUUGCCACCGGGGAGUACUAAUGCCUACUGUUUAGAGCGAUCGAAAAU